GGGCCGCGGCGCGAAGUCCUGCCUUUUCUUCGCGCUGGCGCCUGGCGGAACUUCGAGCACUCGGGGCGCGCCCGCCCGCGGCGGGGUGGCCCGGCCGCAGCAGGACACUCUCAGACAUCUUGUGAAAACAUCAGUGUCUUGCCGGGUUGCGGUGGCUCAUGCCUGAAAUCGUACCACUCUGGGAGGUCCAGACCACAAGUCUGAAUUCCGACGCCCCUCUGGAGUCUCCACGGAAGAACCUUCAUCCAUUCCAGCUUCUGGUAUGCUGGCAGUUGGCAUUCCCUGGUGUGCUGUCACAUUGCUCCAGUCUUUGCUGUGGUCACACGGCCUUCUCCUCUUCUGGAUUUUAGACUGCCAGCCUCCAGCACUAUGAUAGAAGAGCCUUGUAAGCUGUUCAGUCAGUGGUCAUCUGCUCCAGCAGCUACAUUUGCCAUGAAUGCUUUUUUGCAGCUGACCCUGGCCUCUCCCUGUAGGACACUGGCCUCUGGUACAGCACUGCACUUUGCCCCUGUGCUCAGAGAGCCUGACAAGCCAGACGAACAAGAAGUACCCACCCCAGGGGGAGCCCUGGCUGGCUGGCAGAGCAGGGCAGGAACAUUCCAGCCCCCUCACUCCAUCCAACAGCACUGAGUGGCUGUGCUGGGCACCCUUUCCAGGGGACUGUCUCAGGGAGGCUUGGAGGAAUCAAGCCUUUGUGCGGUGAGCUGCCCUGUGAAGGGGCCUGAAUGCCAGGAAACCAGGAGCUGCCUCUGGCCCCCGGCCCACCAGGAAGUGCAUCCUGCCAGUGAACACUGAGGCCGGGAAGCAUGUCCUGCAGCUGAUGGUGUUCCUGCCUUCUGACUUUAGCAGUGGACAGGAUAUUUAAGAACAUCUAUGCAUUCAGCUCAUCACUUCAUUUUUGAAUGGAUUUACUGACUUUUUUUUUUUUUUUAAACAGUCUUCCUUUGU